UUCUGUCCUCUGUUGUCAUGGAGCAAGCUACAAACUUUCCAAAACCUCCUUUCAAGCAUAAAGACAUUUUUCAUUGUAUUUCAGCUUCCAGAAUAGUUCUCCCUCUAUUUGGGGAACUUAAAGUCCAAUCUGCCCUCAGACAUCUUUUCUAAUGAUGGACAGGAGGUGAAGGAGUUGAGGAAGAGUGUGCCAAAUUGAUUAGAAAGCAUGAAUUGCCAGACAGCAUUGACAGGAAGGAGCUACAGGGAAAGUCUGAAAGAUCCACCAGUUGAUCCACCAGUGGCGACCACUACUCUAACCCCUGCCGACCUGAAGAAGCUUCUCCUCAAACUUCAAAAGGAUUUAUGGCAGGCAUUUCCAAAGCCUCCAGUACAUCCUUUACAGCACUGCAUAAACACCAACACAUCACUCCCAUCAUGCCCUCUUGGUACUGACUCCUUAUACACUCUGCAGCUUCUUUUAAACCCCUCUCACCUGCCAGUCAAUCCACAGAAACACCUCACACUGCUCCCAGCAAUUUCUCAUCCCAGGUUAGUAAUACAGCAGUAACAGUAUAGAAAUAAUAGUAUAUUACUUAUAGUAAUUUUGCACGUUCAUCUGUACUUUAAAGGGAAAUUAAAUUGCAGCCAAACAGUGAAUAUAACAGCUGUUAUAUUCAGCCUCCUAACAGAACUAACAUUGAACAUUUUUUCAAUUUGUGUUUCACAGCCAGAUAAAUUAGCCUAUGAGAAGCACAAUCCAAACUGUCUCCACCACUUAUCAUUAACCUGCUGUACUUUGAGAGACUGCACAAAGCACUAAGUAGUCGUUUCCAUGUGCUGUGUGUGGGUGUCAGCCCUUAAUCAAAUUGACAUAGACGUGUCAGCUACUA